rnacentral:rRNA from 1 species
UGGGGAAUCUUGCGCAAUGCACGACAGUGUGACGCGGCAACGCCGCGUGGGGGAAGAAGGCCUUCGGGUUGUAAACCUCUUUCAGGAGGGACGAAGCUUCGGCAGCGAAUAGCUGUCCGGAGUGACGGUACUUCCAUAAGAAGCCCCGGCUAACUACGUGCCAGCAGCCGCGGUAAUACGUAGGGGGCAAGCGUUGUCCGGAAUCAUUGGGCGUAAAGAGCGCGUAGGCGGCCAGAUAAGUCCGGUGUGAAAGUCACAGGCUCAACCUGUGAAUGCCGCUGGAAACUGUUUGGCUAGAGUCCCGGUAGGGGCGAGUGGAAUUCCUGGUGUAGCGGUGAAAUGCGCAGAUAUCAGGAGGAACACCAAUGGCGAAGGCAGCUCGCUGGAACGGUACUGACGCUGAGGCGCGAAAGCGUGGGGAGCGAACAGGAUUAGGAUACCCUGGUAGUCCACGCCGUAACGAUGGGUACUAGGUGUAGGAGGUGUCGGACUCC